GAUGAAGAACGCAGCGAAAUGCGAUACUUGGUGUGAAUUGCAGAAUCCCGUGAACCAUCGAGUCUUUGAACGCAAGUUGCGCCUCAAGCCAUUAGGUUGAGGGCACGUCUGCCUGGGCGUCACAUAUCGUUGCCUGAUGCCAGUUUCCUCGUGAUGGGUGACUGUGCAGGGCGAAUGAUGGCUUCCCGUGAGCAUUGUUGCCUCAUGGUUGGUUGAAAAUUGAGUCCUUGGUAGGGAGCGCCGUGAUAGAUGGUGGUUGAGUGACGAACGAGACCCAAUCAUGUGAGACCCCUACCGAAUUUGGCCUUCAUGACCCACAUGCGUCUUUGGAACGCUCAUGACGAGACCUCAGGUCAGGCGGGGCUACCCGCUGAGUUUAAGCAUAUCAAUAAGCGGAGGA
rnacentral:misc_RNA from 1 species